rnacentral:tRNA from 1 species
GCCGAGGUGGUGAAAUUGGCAGACGCGCUGGACUCAAAAUCCAGUGGGGGUGACCCCGUGUGGGUUCGAUUCCCACCCUCGGCA